rnacentral:lncRNA from 1 species
ACCUGGACUGUUCUGAUCAAGACUACAGAUUUGCUUCUGCGAUUACAAUGAUACUACAACCGCUCCAGUCGUUUUGAGUAGCACAGUGAGAUAGAAGCAGUAGCUGGAUCUAAUUUGAGCGCUCUGAUACCAAUUUGUCAUGCCUUCAAUGUAUGACAAAGCUGUUUUUGUAUAUUUUUGGUGUUUUCUGAGUUUAUGAACUGAAAUAGCAGCAAAGCAAGUAACAGAACAGUAGAUUAUAGCUAGAUAGAGAUGAAUUAGGGCAGAGAGAUGUAGAAAUGAGAGAGAGAGAGAUCAGAUCAGGAGAGAGAGACAGAGUUUAGAGAGAGAAAGAGAGGGAAAAUCAGUUAGAGAAGAGAGAGAGAAACUUGGAAGAGAAGUUUUGUAUUUCAUAAUAUGCAUAAUACCAGCACACAAGUCUAUUUAUAGCUAACACAGAAUAGAAUGACUAAAAGACAUUCUUGCCCUGCACUUGUACUUAAUAUGCU